GAAGGACAAAAGUUCUAUCAAAGGCAAAAUGGAUUCUGUUACCCAAACAGCAAUUGAAAAGACAAGGACCAUCCGUUGAUCAAGACAUUCCAGCAGAACUAAGGAGAUUAUUGGAAAAAGAGCGAGAGGAAUGUUUUGUGCAAGUACAGCCAAAACAACAAAAAAGGACACCAAAAGGAAAUAGAAAAGAAUCAGAAGAGAAAACAUGCCAAGGAAAGAAAAGGAAAAAGAAUGUGAAAGAAAUUACCAGAAAAAUUUACUCUUCAUACAUU